AUUGAACGCUGGCGGCAGGCUUAACACAUGCAAGUCGAGCGGAGAUGAGGUGCUUGCACCUUAUCUUAGCGGCGGACGGGUGAGUAAUGCUUAGGAAUCUGCCUAUUAGUGGGGGACAACAUUCCGAAAGGAAUGCUAAUACCGCAUACGCCCUACGGGGGAAAGCAGGGGAUCUUCGGACCUUGCGCGAAUAGAUGAGCCUAAGUCGGAUUAGCUAGUUGGUGGGGUAAAGGCCUACCAAGGCGACGAUCUGUAGCGGGUCUGAGAGGAUGAUCCGCCACACUGGGACUGAGACACGGCCCAGACUCCUACGGGAGGCAGCAGUGGGGAAUAUUGGACAAUGGGCGGAAGCCUGAUCCAGCCAUGCCGCGUGUGUGAAGAAGGCCUUUUGGUUGUAAAGCACUUUAAGCGAGGAGGAGGCUACCUGGAUUAAUACUCUAGGAUAGUGGACGUUACUCGCAGAAUAAGCACCGGCUAACUCUGUGCCAGCAGCCGCCGCCGUA
rnacentral:rRNA from 1 species